rnacentral:tRNA from 1 species
GUCCUCAUAGUUCAACGGAUAGAACAUGAGCUUGCGGAGCUUAAAAUGUAGGUUCGAUUCCUGCUGAGGACACAA